rnacentral:rRNA from 1 species
CCUACGGGCGGCAGCAGUGAGGAAUAUUGGUCAAUGGACGAGAGUCUGAACCAGCCAAGUAGCGUGAAGGAUGACUGCCCUAUGGGUUGUAAACUUCUUUUAUAUGGGAAUAAAAUGUUCCACGUGUGGGAUUUUGUAUGUACCAUAUGAAUAAGGAUCGGCUAACUCCGUGCCAGCAGCCGCGGUAAUACGGAGGAUGCGAGCGUUAUCCGGAUUUAUUGGGUUUAAAGGGAGCGUAGGUGGAUUGUUAAGUCAGUUGUGAAAGUUUGGGGCUCAACCGUAAAAUUGCAGUUGAAACUGGCAGUCUUGAGUACAGUAGAGGUGGGCGGAAUUCGUGGUGUAGCGGUGAAAUGCUUAGAUAUCACGAAGAACUCCGAUUGCGAAGGCAGUUCACUGGACUGCAACUGACACUGAGGCUCGAAAGUGUGGGUAUCAAACAGGAUUAGAUACCCUAGUAGUC